UCGAACGGGACCAUCAGGCUUUGCUUGGUGGUGAGAGUGGCGAACGGGUGAGUAAUGCGUGACCGACCUGCCCCAUACACCGGAAUAGCUCCUGGAAACGGGUGGUAAUGCCGGAUGCUCCAGUUGAUCGCAUGGUCUUCUGGGAAAGCUUUCGCGGUAUGGGAUGGGGUCGCGUCCUAUCAGCUUGACGGCGGGGUAACGGCCCACCGUGGCUUCGACGGGUAGCCGGCCUGAGAGGGCGACCGGCCACAUUGGGACUGAGAUACGGCCCAGACUCCUACGGGAGGCAGCAGUGGGGAAUAUUGCACAAUGGGCGCAAGCCUGAUGCAGCGACGCCGCGUGAGGGAUGGAGGCCUUCGGGUUGUAAACCUCUUUUAUCGGGGAGCAAGCGAGAGUGAGUUUACCCGUUGAAUAAGCACCGGCUAACUACGUGCCAGCAGCCGCGGUAAUACGUAGGGUGCAAGCGUUAUCCGGAAUUAUUGGGCGUAAAGGGCUCGUAGGCGGUUCGUCGCGUCCGGUGUGAAAGUCCAUCGCUUAACGGUGGAUCCGCGCCGGGUACGGGCGGCUUGAGUGCGGUAGGGAGACUGGAAUUCCGGUGUAACGGUGGAAUGUGUAGAUAUCGGGAAGAACACCAAUGGGGAAGGCAGGUCUCUGGGCCGUU
rnacentral:rRNA from 1 species